rnacentral:rRNA from 1 species
GAUGAACGCUGGCGGCGUGCUUAACACAUGCAAGUCGAACGAAGCAAUUUUGAAACUUCGGUUUCAAAAUUGACUUAGUGGCGGACGGGUGAGUAACGCGUAGGUAACCUGCCUUGUACAGGGGGAUAACAGCUGGAAACGGCUGCUAAUACCGCAUAACACAGAGGUAUCGCAUGAUACUUUUGCCAAAGAUUUAUCGGUAUAAGAUGGACCUGCGUCUGAUUAGCUAGUUGGUGAGGUAAUGGCUCACCAAGGCGACGAUCAGUAGCCGACUUGAGAGAGUGAUCGGCCACAUUGGGACUGAGACACGGCCCAAACUCCUACGGGAGGCAGCAGUGGGGAAUAUUGCACAAUGGGGGAAACCCUGAUGCAGCGACGCCGCGUGAGUGAAGAAGUAUUUCGGUAUGUAAAGCUCUAUCAGCAGGGACGAAUAAAAUGACGGUACCUGACUAAGAAGCCCCGGCUAACUACGUGCCAGCCGCCGCAGUAACAC